UACGUAGGGUCCGAGCGUUGUCCGGAAUUAUUGGGCGUAAAGGGCUCGUAGGCGGUUUGUUGCGUCGGGAGUGAAAACUUCGAGCUUAACUCGGAGCUUGCUUUCGAUACGGGCAGACUUGAGGCAUUCAGGGGAGAACGGAAUUUCUGGUGUAGCGGUGAAAUGCGCAGAUAUCAGAAGGAACACCGGUGGCGAAGGCGGUUCUCUGGGAAUGUUCUGACGCUGAGGAGCGAAAGCAUGGGGAGCGAACAGG
rnacentral:rRNA from 1 species